CAGUCGCCGCGGGAAUACGAAGGGUGCAAGCGUUAAUCGGAAUUACUGGGCGUAAAGCGUGCGUAGGCGGUGAGUUAAGUCUGCUGUGAAAUCCCCGGGCUCAACCUGGGAACUGCAUCCAAAACUGGCGAGCUAGAGUAUGGUAGAGGGUGGUGGAAUUUCCUGUGUAGCGGUGAAAUGCGUAGAUAUAGGAAGGAACAUCAGUGGCGAAGGCGACCACCUGGACUGAUACUGACACUGAGGUGCGAAAGCGUGGGGAGCAAACAGGAUUAGAUACCCCCGUAGUCCCUGUCUCUUAUAC
rnacentral:rRNA from 1 species